CAAUCCAUGAGUAAAGUGGCGACCGGGUGAGUAAUACGUGACUAACCUACCUUCGAGUGGGGGAUAACAUCGGGAAACCGAUGCUAAUACCGCAUAACAUCGCAAGAUCAAAGCAGCAAUGCGCUGGAAGAGGGGGUCGCGGCUGAUUAGCUAGUUGGCGGGGUAACGGCCCACCAAGGCGACAAUCCGUAGCUGGUCUGAGAGGACGACCAGCCACACCGGAACUGAGACACGGUCCGGACUCCUACGGGAGGCAGCAGUGGGGAAUAUUGGACAAUGGGGGAAACCCUGAUCCAGCGACGCCGCGUGUGUGAAGAAGGCCUGCGGGUUGUAAAGCACUUUUAGUGGGGACAAAAAGCUACGGAUUAAUACUCUGUGGUCUUGAUUUAACCCAAAGAAAAAGCACCGGCUAACUCUGUGCCAGCAGCCGCGGUAAUACAGAGGGUGCGA
rnacentral:rRNA from 1 species